UAGCGGUGAAAUGCGUAGAUAUUAGAAAGAACACCGGUGGCGAAAGCGCUCUACUGGACCAUUACUGACACUGAGAGGCGAAAGCUAGGGUAGCAAAAGGGAUUAGAUACCCCUGUAGUCCUAGCCGUAAACGAUGGAUACUAGGUGUUGUGCAGUUCGUACAGUAUCUUAGCUAACGCGUUAAGUAUCCCGCCUGGGGAGUACGCUCGCAAGGGUGAAACUCAAAGGAAUUGACGGGAGGCAGC
rnacentral:rRNA from 1 species